rnacentral:rRNA from 1 species
ACGAACGCUGGCGGCGUGCCUAAUACAUGCAAGUAGAACGCUGAAGGAGGAGCUUGCUUCUCUGGAUGAGUUGCGAACGGGUGAGUAACGCGUAGGUAACCUGCCUGGUAGCGGGGGAUAACUAUUGGAAACGAUAGCUAAUACCGCAUAACAGUAGAUAUCGCAUGAUAUCUACUUGAAAGGUGCAAUUGCAUCACUACCAGAUGGACCUGCGUUGUAUUAGCUAGUUGGUGAGGUAACGGCUCACCAAGGCGACGAUACAUAGCCGACCUGAGAGGGUGAUCGGCCACACUGGGACUGAGACACGGCCCAGACUCCUACGGGAGGCAGCAGUAGGGAAUCUUCGGCAAUGGACGGAAGUCUGACCGAGCAACGCCGCGUGAGUGAAGAAGGUUUUCGGAUCGUAAAGCUCUGUUGUAAGAGAAGAACGAGUGUGAGAGUGGAAAGUUCACACUGUGACGGUAUCUGACCAGAAAGGGACGGCUAACUACGUG